CCCUCUUUCUCUCCUUCAGUAAGUGUCUAUAAAUAAACACCUAAACCUGUACCUUGUUCCUACUAAAUUCAAUCUCAGUAGCUAAAUUGAAAGAGAAAAAGAGAGAUGUCGGGUUGGGGACCGCCACCAGGAGGACCUCCCGGUCCUCCGGGGCUAUGUGGUUGCUGUGAUUUUUGUUGUGGUGGUAUAUGCAGGCUUAUAUCUUCAUGUUUUUAUUUCCUCUGUUGCUGCUGCAUCAUAGAGAGCUGCUGCGGACCAGUGUUUGGUGGACCACCUGGGCCAGGAGGGCCCCCUGGCCCACCUGGUGGGCCUCCCUUCUAAGUAGACCAUUUCCCUUCUAAGCAGACUCAAUUUAAAAAAAAAAAAUAUGUGUUUAUUUGUCUAAUUUAAGUUUUUAAUAUUGAUUUUGUAUAUUUAUUUUAUGGGUCUUGUAUAUUUAUUUAGUACAAUAAGGAACAUAAUUUAUAUUGCUUGUGUAUAAAUUGUGAGUGAGUUUUCAUCAUCUAAUACAUACUAAUGGCUUA